UUGCUUUGGCAGCACAGAAACUAAAAUUGGAACAAUAGAGAGAAGAUUAGCAUGGCCUCUGUGUAAGGGAGGACACAAAAAUUGAUAAAACAUUCCGUAUUUAA